ACAAAUGUUUCCUCAGUAGAUGAGCUAAAGAACGAAGAAGAUGUUGACUUCACUCAUCCUCCAGAAACUGUGCCUCAGAGCCUCAGUCCGGAGAGCAACGCUUUCCCCACAAAGCAGGCAAAGAAAGUGAAGAAAGGUCGAAAAGCCAGAUUUAAUCUCCCAGAAGGUUCGUCUCCAAGCCCAAUGCUGCAGCGGGUGAACAAAGAUGAGGUUCAGCGGGUGAAAGAUGGGUUGAAGCAGGAGAUAGCUUCUUCCAUUAAGGAGCCAAAGAAAAGCCUUCAAGACAGUAUGGAAAAAAGACACGUGGCAGAAAUUGGAGAUCUGAUCCAGAACGUACGUCAGAAGACUAAUAAUUUCACCCUGAAGAAAUUGAAGUCAUUUGUGACACCCCAUCUCCCGAUGGGUGACAGAAGGCCUCCUUCACUCCUCAUGUACAUUUAUAGAAAGUCAAAAGCAGAAUCUUCGCCUUCUGAUGGGGUGAAGAGUGGUCCAAAAGAGGCUUGGACCUCAAGAAACUAAAAUGUGAAUGUUAUCACUCGACUGAAUGGGCGUCAUCAGUGGUUAUCAGCCAGAUAUGCUAGACUCAGAAGGUUAUCAUCCAUCUCAGGGCUCUUUCUAGACAUCAGGAGGCCCUAGGCCAUCCAUCGUUCGCUAGCUACAGGACCAGUGCCACCCCUCAUAAACCCGCUGACAAGAGUGGAAGACUGCAGGAUGCACCGUCUUUGCUAAUUGGCAAGUGCAUUGUACAAGUAUAAUUUAGUUUGAAUGCUGGCCUCCAUUGGUGGAAGAGAUACCAAAAACAUUGUAACCAGCCAAAGGCCAUUUUGGCUGAGCAGUGAGGAAGAAUCGCAUGUCUGACAAAGCCACCGACACACACCGAGAUAAACCAUCAGGUGGUUUAAUCUGGUGUGCGACCGCCGCCAUGCCCGGUCACACCCAACUAAUGAGCAAUAAAUGAGUUUAAAAUAAAAAAAAGUUUUUUGAAA